rnacentral:rRNA from 1 species
GGCGUUGAAGCAUGAUCGCAAGGACAUGUGGAGCGCUUAGAAGUGAGAAUGCCGGUGUGAGUAGCGAAAGACGGGGGAGAAUCCCGUCCACCGAUUGACUAAGGUUUCCAGAGGAAGGCUCGUCCGCCCUGGGUUAGUCGGGUCCUAAGCUGAGGCCGACAGGCGUAGGCGAUGGAUAACAGGUUGAUAUUCCUGUACCACCU